GGAAGGAUGGCAGAGCGGUUGAAUGCACCGGUCUUGAAAACCGGCAAUGAGCAAUCAUUCGUGGGUUCAAAUCCCACUCCUUCCGCCA
rnacentral:tRNA from 1 species